rnacentral:lncRNA from 1 species
AGAAAUCAAUCUUUAGAGCCCUUCUAGUCACUAAAAUCCAGAUUUUUAACAUACUAUUUGCUGCCAUUUUCCCUUCCGGCAUGCAUUUUCACCAUUUUCAACUAUUUUUCAUGAUUUUCUUGAUUUUUAUCGAUUUUCUCAAGCAUGAACAAACUUCAUAAUUCCAAAUCAUGGAAUUUAUGGAAUCAAUUCAUGCAAAAUUAAUUAGGGCCUUGGUGGGAGCCCGACAUUCAUGAUAUUCUC